UAUUAUAUAAUGAUGUGUUUGGCGUUUAGUGUUUAAAACUAGUUUGGUAUAUAAUACAACCCUAUAUAUAUAUAUAUAUAUAUAUAUGGUGUCAAUUUUAUUGGCACAAAUUCAAGAAAUCGAACAACUUAAGGGUAAUUCUAGACUUUUUGUUCGAUUUUACUUGUAGUCGGUUACCAUUCAUCCUCUAAUUGUGAGGAAAAAUCUUACCAUCAUAUUCCAUCUAUUAGUAUUAUAAUUUUGAGAUGAUACAACUGAUCUCUAACAUGAAAUAAUACUAUUAGAAGGAGCAAAAUUGCAAGUGAUCAUCACAAAAAUGGGAACAAAGAUUGUUGAGAGAUGAGAUGUGGUGAGGGGCAGCCCUUUAGUUCAUCCCAGAGACUAUCUUUUCUGGUUUCGUCGCCCUCGACUCAUCCUCUCACGCAUUCACUUCGUUCUUUUUGAGAAUGCCAUUUCAGAUUGCCUCAAACUCAUCAAACAAAAAAAAUGUCUGUGCUCAUUUUUAUUUCCAACAUUUAUUCACAAAUAGUUAAAUUGUGUCAUGACUUUGUUUUUUCUGCUAAAAUUUGAUAUCCAGGAUUAAACUGUGUUUCGAUUGAGAAACAUGUUUUGAGUUAUAUUGGGAAUGGAGUUGACUUUGUAGUAGGGAAUUUGUUUAUGCUUUGCAGAUAGGCAAUUCUCUGGUGUUUGGUCCGGUUUUAAUGUUGAAGGGGUGAAUCUGACUAGGUGAAGAUCGAAGAAUUGUGCGCAGAGUCAGGGCUUUCUUUGGGCAAGAGUAGGUGAAGAUCUUUAGUCAACAAUGAAAAGAAGUGGAGAAUAGACUAGUGAGUAUGAACUAAUAUGAAGUGUAAAACAAUAUGUUGGUCUCUUAACAGAAAAUAACUACCAUCUUCAGUUACAUUGCCUAUCUGCUUUGCAGAUAGGCAAUGUUUGGUCCGGUUUUAAUGUUGAAGGGGUGAAUCUGACUAGUACAACCAAUGAAGGAGGAUAUCGAAGAAUUGUGCGCAGAGUCAGGGCUUUGGGCAACAGUAGGUGAAGAUCUUUAGUCAACAAUUCCAACAAAUGAAAACAAGUGGAGAAUAGACUAGUAUGAACUAAUAUGAAGUGUAAAACAAUAUGUUUUGUUUUAUGCAAGUUUAAUUUUGUUA